UCUUUCGGAAGUGAGGAAACUUAUUUCGUAAUAUGUUAUAAGAUGACGGUAACUUUAGAAGAAGCACCGGCUAACUACGUGCCAGCAGCCGCGGUAAUACGUAGGGUGCGAGCGUUAAUCGGAAUUACUGGGCGUAAAGCGUGCGCAGGCGGUUUUGUAAGUCAGAUGUGAAAUCCCCGAGCUUAACUUGGGAACUGCGUUUGAAACUACAAGACUAGAGUGUGUCAGAGGGGGGUAGAAUUCCACGUGUAGCAGUGAAAUGCGUAGAGAUGUGGAGGAAUAUCAAUGGCGAAGGCAGCCCCCUGGGAUAACACUGACGCUCAUGCACGAAAGCGUGGGGAGCGAACAGGAUUAGAUACCCUGGUAGUCCACGCCCUAAACGAUGUCAACUAGUUGUUGGUGGAGUAAGAUCCAUGAGUAACGUAGCUAACGCGUGAAGUUGACCGCCUGGGGAGUACGGUCG
rnacentral:rRNA from 1 species